rnacentral:snoRNA from 1 species
AAGACUACUUUCAGGGAUCACUUCAAGUUUCUCUGAUCAGGCAGCACACCAAAAAAACAUGAAGAGGAGGAGCCAUAGCUUGCUUUCCUGAGUGUGAAGCUGGCCAUUUUUGUUGCCUCACUGCGAAUGCUUUUUGCCAUUGAUGACCAUUCUUCUCUCCUUUCAAGAAGAGGAAGAGGGAGAGGAUGUUGCCCGAAUGG